rnacentral:rRNA from 1 species
GAUGAACGCUGGCGGCGUGCCUAAUACAUGCAAGUCGAGCGAAGCGGGGACGGGUGAGUAACACGUGGAUAACCUCCUAUAAGUCUGGGAUAACUUCGGGAAACCGGUGCUAAACCGCAUACUUAUAGAUGGAUCUCCGCUGCAUUAGCUAGUUGGUACGUUAACGGCUUACCACGGCAACGAUGCAUAGCCGACCUGAGAGGGUGAUCGGCCACAUUGGAACUGAGACACGGUCCAGACUCCUACGGGAGGCAGCAGUGGGGAAUCUUCCGCAAUGGGCGAAAGCCUGACGCAGCAAUGCCGCGUGAGUGAUGAAGGUCUUCGGAUCGUAAAGCUCUGUUAGUAGGGAAGCGGUACCUAAUCAGAAAGCCCCGGCUAACUACGUGCCAGCCGCCGCGGUAAUUC